AGCCCUGUUCUGGGAACAGCUGAUUCCAAAGGCUGUAUAUGCGACUCUUCAUUCUGAUAAUGCGCGUCAUUCAUUUCCUUUUUAACCUAACAAAUUUAAACAUAGCACGUGCGACCUAACGUAGAGCAAAAAGUUGUUUAACUUGUGUUUGCAUUGUACAUGAAAAUAGAAACUAAACUGUGGUUAUUCUUAGGAGUGAUCGGUCUAUCGUCAGAGCUGUAAUGGGUUCCUCAGAUUAUAUUGCUCCUUGUUUACUCAUUGUGGCUCUAUUUUUAAUCAAUGCGGGGGUACUUGUCUACAUCUUGAGGGCUCGUAAAAAGAUACCGGCUCGGGUUAGU